GCCGCCCUGCCACCGAUGCCCGCCGUGCCGACGAUGCCCGCGGCGGCAGGCAUGCCACCCAUUCCCGCGGUACCGACGGUCCCCGCGGUCACCGUGCCACCGAUGCCCACUGUGCCAGCUGUCCCCGCGGCGACCCUGCCGCCGAUGCCCGCGGUGCCCACCGUGCCGAACGCGGCAUUGCCACCCAUGCCGCCGAUGCCUGCCGUCCCCAAGGUUACCUUGCCGCCGAUACCUGCCGUGCCGAAGGUGACGCUGCCGCCGAUGCCCUCCAUCCCCAGCGCCGUGCCGAUGCCGUUCUUGGCGCCGCCUCCUUCGGCGUAAUCAAGCAUGCGCGCAGUGCAUGUGUGGCGACGCUGAGUGUCCUCUGUCAAUUUCCCAUGUCUGAUUGUUGAGUCGUUCG
rnacentral:lncRNA from 1 species